rnacentral:rRNA from 1 species
GGAAUUUUCCGCAAUGGGCGAAGGCCUGACGGAGCAACGCCGCGUGAGGGAUGAAGGCCUCUGGGCUGUAAACCUCUUUUAUCAAGGAAGAAGAUCUGACGGUACUUGAUGAACAAGCCACGGCUAAUUCCGUGCCAGCAGCCGCGGUAAUACGGGAGUGGCAAGCGUUAUCCGGAAUUAUUGGGCGUAAAGCGUCCGCAGGCGGUCUUGUAAGUCUGUCGUUAAAGCGUGGAGCUUAACUCCAUUUCAGCGAUGGAAACUGCAAGACUAGAGUGUGGUAGGGGCAGAGGGAAUUCCCGGUGUAGCGGUGAAAUGCGUAGAUAUCGGGAAGAACACCAGUGGCGAAGGCGCUCUGCUGGGCCAUAACUGACGCUCAUGGACGAAAGCCAGGGGAGCGAAAGGGAUUAGAUACCCCAGUAGUC